UACGAAGGGGGCUAGCGUUGUUCGGAAUUACUGGGCGUAAAGGGCGCGUAGGCGGUGUGUCAAGUCAGGCGUGAAAGCCCCCGGGCUCAACCUGGGAACAGCGCUUGAGACUGGCACGCUCGAGUUCGGGGAGAGGAUGGUGGAAUUCCCAGUGUAGAGGUGAAAUUCGUGAGAUAUUGGGAAGAACACCAGUGGCGAAGGCGGCUCAACUGGCCCGAUACUGACGCUGAGGCACGGAAAGCGUGGGGAGCCAAACAGGGAUUAAGAAACCCCCGGAU
rnacentral:rRNA from 1 species